rnacentral:rRNA from 1 species
AAUCAACGCUGGCGGCGUGCCUCAGACAUGCAAGUCGAACGAUUAAAGCUCUCUUCGGAGAGUGUAUAGAGUGGCGCACGGGUGAGUAACACGUAAGUAAUCUACCCUCGAGUGGGGAAUAACACCGGAAACGGUUGCUAAUACCGCAUAAUGCAGCGGCACCGCAAGGUGACAGUUGUUAAAGAUUUAUCGCUUGAGGAGGAGCUUGCGGCAGAUUAGCUAGUUGGUAGGGUAACGGCUUACCAAGGCUACGAUCUGUAACCGGUCUAAGAGGACGGUCGGUCACACUGACACUGAAUAACGGGUCAGACUCCUACGGGAGGCAGCAGUCGGGAAUUUUGGGCAAUGGGCGAAAGCCUGACCCAGCAACGCCGCGUGAAGGAUGAAGUAUUUCGGUAUGUAAACUUCGAAAGAAUAGGAAGAAUUAAUGACGGUACUA